AAGUCGUAACAAGGUUUCCGAGAUCAUUAACACGUGUCCACGUUAACCACCCGCCUUCAUCUUUUACCGUCGUUCCACGGAACUUCGAGCCACCCGCCUCUUGUGCAGUCUUCGUGGGGUCUUCGGAAAGACGGCUUGAGGGCGUCGUGUGCUCAACGAAGUGGCUCGGAGCUUCUGUGUGCGUCUAAAGUGGUUUUUUCCCACUGCUGCAAAACUUGACUAAGCAAGCCAAGCGAACAC
rnacentral:misc_RNA from 1 species